CAGAGUAGGAAACAAAGCGUUAAGUGCCAGAAGGAUGGGAUGUUGUCUUUUGGACGAAGGAGGAAAUCCGCGGUUUUGUUUUCGCAUUCGCUGC
rnacentral:ncRNA from 1 species